AGCAUGAGACUGGGUUCUGUAUGUAAGGGGGAGUGGCUGUUCUGGGGAUUGCCCUUAUUGCUAUGGGGGAGGAGAUUGGUGCAGAGAUGGCAUUACGAACCUUUGGCCACUUGCUGAGAUAUGGGGAGCCUACACUCCGGAGGGCUGUACCUUUAGCACUGGCCCUCAUCUCUGUUUCCAAUCCACGACUCAACAUCCUGGAUACCCUAAGCAAAUUCUCUCAUGAUGCUGAUCCGGAAGUUUCCUAUAACUCCAUUUUUGCCAUGGGCAUGGUGGGCAGUGGUACCAAUAAUGCCCGUCUGGCUGCAAUGCUGCGCCAGUUAGCUCAAUAUCAUGCCAAGGACCCAAACAACCUCUUCAUGGUGCGCUUGGCACAGGGCCUGACACAUUUAGGGAAGGGUACCCUUACCCUCUGCCCCUACCACAGUGACCGGCAGCUUAUGAGUCAAGUGGCCGUGGCUGGACUGCUCACUGUGCUUGUCUCUUUCCUGGAUGUUCGAAACAUUAUUCUAGGCAAAUCACACUAUGUAUUGUAUGGGCUGGUGGCUGCCAUGCAGCCCCGAAUGCUGGUUACGUUUGAUGAGGAGCUG
rnacentral:sRNA from 1 species